GUGCCAGCAGCCGCGGUAAUACAGAGGGUGCAAGCGUUAAUCGGAUUUACUGGGCGUAAAGCGCGCGUAGGCGGCCAAUUAAGUCAAGUGUGAAAUCCCCGAGCUUAACUUGGGAAUUGCAUUCGAUACUGGUUGGCUAGAGUGUGGGAGAGGAUGGUAGAGUUCCAGGUGUAGCGGUGAAAUGCGUAGAGAUCUGGAGGAAUACCGAUGGCGAAGGCAGCCAUCUGGCCUAACACUGACGCUGAGGUGCGAAAGCAUGGGGAGCAAACAGGAUUAGAAACCCCGGUAGUCC
rnacentral:rRNA from 1 species